ensembl:lncRNA
GACCUGAAACAUAAGGAGAGUGGAAAGAAAGCGUCGUGAAAUCUGGAGGGAACCUCCAGGUUUCCACGCCUGCUGUGAUGGAUGCUUACAAGCGGGUGAGAUGGAUAUUAGCGUGCAGGAGCCCAGGAAGAAAUCCAAGAAAUGAAAAAUAAGGAGAUUGGAAAGAAAGUAUUGUGAAAUCUGGAGGGAAACUCCAGGUUUCCACGCCGGCUGUGAUGGAUGCUUAGAAGCGGGUGAGAUGGAUAUCAGAGUGCAGGAGCCCAGGAACAGACCCAAGACCCUAAACACAAGGAGAGUGGAAAGAAAGCGUUGUGAAAUCUGGAGGAAACCUUCAGGUUUCCACGCCGGCUGUGAUGGAUGCUUACAAGCGGGUGAGAUGCAUAUCAGAGUGUAGGAGCCCAGGAACAGACCCAAGACCCUAAACACAAGGAGAUUGGAAACAAAGCGUUGUGAAAUCUGGAGGGAACCUACAGGUUUCCACGCUGGAUGUGAUGGAUGCUUACAAGCGGGUGAGAUGGAUAUCAGAGUGCAGGAGCCCACGAACAGGUCCAACACCUGAAACAUAAGGAGUUUGGAAAGAAAGCCUCCUGAAUUCUUGAAAUUUUUUAAAGAUGCUUCAUCUCCCAACCCAGAAGCUCCUUUAGCCCCCUGCGAAUGCCCGCCGUUUUUUUUUUU